ACUACGGGGGGCAGCAGUGGGGGAUAUUGCACAAUGGGGGGAACCCUGAUGCAGCGACGCCGCGUGGGUGAAGAAGCGCCUCGGCGCGUAAAGCCCUGUCAGCAGGGAAGAAAAUGACGGUACCUGAAGAAGAAGCCCCGGCUAACUACGUGCCAGCAGCCGCGGUAAUACGUAGGGGGCAAGCGUUAUCCGGAUUUACUGGGUGUAAAGGGGGCGCAGACGGCGAUGCAAGCCAGGAGUGAAAGCCCGGGGCCCAACCCCGGGACUGCUCUUGGAACUGCGUGGCUGGAGUGCAGGAGGGGCAGGCGGAAUUCCUGGUGUAGCGGUGAAAUGCGUAGAUAUCAGGAGGAACACCGGUGGCGAAGGCGGCCUGCUGGACUGCAACUGACGUUGAGGCCCGAAAGCGUGGGGAGCAAACAGGAUUAGAUACCCCGGUAGUC
rnacentral:rRNA from 1 species